rnacentral:lncRNA from 1 species
UUUUUUUUUUUUUUUUUUUUUUUGUUGGCAGUCUUCCAGUACUUUAAGUUAGGUCACAACUGUACACCGACAAAGUCAUGCAUUAAAUUAGGACAUUAUCAACUUAAUUGGCAACCAUUGCAGACCAUCCAACUUCCAACUAUUAAGUCAAGAUCCUGGAAAGACCCUCAAAAAAAAAAAAAAUCUUGGAAAGGAUUUUUUUUUUCUUUUAAGAAUCUUGGAAAGGACCUAUUUACCUUUAUUCAGGACUAUUUCUUUAUUAUCUUUUUUUUAUAUGAGUUUUUUUUCCCUUAUUUUUGUUGGUUUGGAAUAGAAAUGGAGAAUUUUGACUCCUCACGCCACUAUUAUUUUUAUUUCCAUCACAUAUUUUUAAAAAUAAAAAAUCGCGAUUAGAAAAUUAUGUAUGACGCAGUAAUGGACAUGGUGCUGCAUAUGCAUGGUAGCUAGAGGUCUUUUAUGUUUUAUAGAUGUGCAAAACACAAAUAUUAGAUUCCUCCCAAAAAAAAUGCAGAAAAAGGAAAAACUAAGGUUGUGUUUGGAUUGUAUUUUUCGUGAUUUUUCAUGAAAAAAUUACUGUACGAUGUGAUGUAUGUGAGAGAAAAUGUAAUAGGGAAAUGUGAUCACGGAAAAUAACGUAAUUUUCUGACGAAAAGUAGCAAUCCAAACAAGGCAUCUUAACUUGAAAUAUGAAUUUAAAACACCUUUCACAUCUCGUAAUUGCUGGUGAGCCUCACCGAAAAGCUUCAGAAAGUCAACCCCGGAGGAUUCCAAAUAGGACGAAUGAAUAAGAAAUCGCUGGUGAAGCAAGCCAGUGUUGAUUGAUUUGUGACUAAAAAGAGUAGCUGAUGGAGAUUACUUUGACUUUGCAAGUAAAUUAUGGCGGCUGACUCUGAGAACUGACUUUGAUUGGUUGAAAAAAAAAACGAAGCACUUUAACCCAAUGUCGCAGUCACUUAAUUAAAAAGGAGGAGAAAAUCAACAACGGAUAUGGUAUAAUUAAUCGAAUACCGUAGUAUUCAUUCUUGCUUGAUUAUUUUAUUAAAUUUAAAAUUUUAAAUUUUAUUUAUUUAUUUAUUAAAUCAAGUUGAAACGAAUUUUUAUCGAAUAUAUAACACUAUUUAAAUUUGAUUUAAUUACUUGACAAAUCAAACUCGAACGAACAUUUAAUUUAUCAAGACGAAUGUGAUUCUAGCAUCGAGUAGUUGGUUCACUUUUCAACCCUAACAAUGAAGGGACGAUGCAAAUGCCAUCCCAUAUAAUAAAAUGACCCGGCCAUGGUGCUAAUUGAUUUUGUUUUAUCACAAGUUUCAGAUCCAUGGUGGAUGGGUUUUCUAAACCAGAAACUUAAUCAGCAGCAGGUCAAUCACAGUCUACCAUGUUUUAUUGUGCUGAAGAUAAAGCUUAAUCUUAAUCUCUAGUAUCUGAAAUAACUACAUGCUAAACCUAGAUAUCUUUCGGCGCGAUUGUUUUUCGUGCGUGUUGCAUAGGUAGGAUAUGUAUAACUUAAUCGAAAAUGGAGAUCUUUGGCUGGCUGAAUUGGUUACAGAAGGAAACGAAUCAAAAAGGAGCGUUGCACUGAAUUUUCUUCUCAAGGUAUUUCAAUGUCGAAUACAUAAUGCUGUUUAAAUUUGAUUUAAUUAGUUGGCAAAUCAAACUCGAACGAACUCUUACCGAGAUUAGUUCGAUUCUAGCAUCAAAUAGUUUGAUUUAUUUUUCAACCCUAAUAACAGACAGAUAUGCAUUAUGAAUACUUAGCAAUGUAAGUAAUUCAUCUUUUUUUUUUUCCUCUUUUGUUAAGUAAAAUUUUUAGUCAAUAUUUGCCAACAGAUAUGCUUGAAUUUCUCAUGGCAAUUGAAUUUGCUGCGAGAAAAGAACUUGUAUUCAAACUUCAGCCAGAGACAAUAAUCGAUCUGAGCCCUUGUACUAAUUGUUAUUACUGGUGACAAGCUCUUCAUGCAUUACAAACUGGGGAAUCAGCUGCACUAACUGAUCGAUUCUCUGGCCGACCAGAAAUCGAAACCGUUGAUUGAAGGUCGAAGAUACAGUGAAGAAGGUCACACAUAAUGCGAAAAAAAAUGAAAAAAAGUAAAAUUUGGCCAUUACAAAAAUUUUUUUUUUAUCAAAUCUUGACCAUCAACCUUUUUUUUUGCCCCAAAUCCUAGAUCCGAGCCCACCCUAAUUGGCACUAGGUCAGGUGCGUAGUAGGUAGGGAUUGUGGCUAAUACGUGCCUAAAGAUAGAGCUGCAAAAAAACGCUCACCAUUUUGCCUUAAAAAUAAAUAAAUAAAAAUACAGGUUGCCUUGUACAACUGCAUUAUGAACCAGUACCGGUUUUCUUUCUGGGCAAAAUCAGUACCGGUUGUCUUGUCCGUUUAGAAGUCUUUCUCCAUCGGAUCGCGAGCAAAAAGUUGUUACUACUCCUCCGUCCCACUUUGAUACUCCUAUUUCUUUUUUCACAUAAUUAAAAAAAAGUGAUUAACUUUAUUGGAAAAGUAAAUUUAAAUUGCUAUUUUUCUAAAAUACCCUCACAUUAAAUAUGGUACAACUUUAUAGGAACUUGAAUUGAUGGUAAAAAAAAUCAACUCUCAUUAAAUAGGGUAGAUUUAUAGUAACAACUACUUACAUUGAAUAAAGGUAUUUUAGAAAAAUUAAAAUACAACUACAUUUUUCAAUUGGAAAGUGGACUAUAAUUUGGGACAGAUGAAAAAUGAAUACAGAAUUAUCAAAGUGGGACGAAGGAAGUAUUUUUUUUGUAAUUCUUAAAAAGCUACUGUCUCUUGCUUCCCCCCUUUGUGAUCUCUGGCCCAAGAAAGGGUGAAAAAUCCCAAAGGUCCAACCAUUAUUGUUUUGGUUAAAAACAUCGACUUUUCUUGUCGGUUCUUGCACGUGAUUUGAGUGGUGCAAUAAUCUUUUUUCUUUCUUAGUUCUUACACGUGGCUUGGCUAUAAUUCAUUUUAUUUUAUCAUCAAAUCCAAGAGCUGCAAUAAUCAUCAAAUUGAGAUAGAAAAUAUGGUACAAAUAGACAGAACUUUUCUUUCCAAAAAAAACAAAAAAAAUAGACAGAACUUUUCUCGAUUCUUUUUCUUUUGUUGGAAUACAAAAACAUGUUUAAUGCCAAAAAAUAAAUUUAAGAUUUUCAUUACUAUGAUUUAUAAAUUUCAACCCUCCAGUGCUUUGGCAUAAUUUUUUUUUUAACGAUAACAAUAGAAUGAAAAAAUUAAAAAAGAAAAGGUCUCGAAAUAGACCCUAUGGUGUUACGUAAACUCUUUUUAUAUCUUUGUGGUUAAAAAAAACUUUUCUUUUGGGAAAAGAAUUCUUUUUUUUUUUGUGGAUAAAGGAUUUUUAUUUUUUUGAUAAUCCAUAUGUUGCUUAUAUUAUAUAGGGAAAAACGUGCUGGAUUAUAGCUGGAGCUGAUGCACCUGGAAAGCCAUAUGCAUGUGAUGGCAUGGUACGUAGUAGCAUGUCACAAUCAGGAUACGGGGUCGACGUGGGACGAUUUUAGCCUUUAUUUUUUUUUUCUCCAAAUCUUUUGCCAACAGCCCAAUCAUUGUUUUUAGUGACAUGAAAUUCUUCACAACACAACAAAAAUAGUAGUCUCAUCAGCUUAUCUAACUUUUGCAUCCAUCGAGUGUUUAAAUAUAGCAAGAAAGUAAAUCCGACAAUACGCUGUGUUUGAAUUGGCGGUUGUUGUUAGAGGUGUUUUUUUAAAUAUUUUAUUAUAACGAUGUAGAUAAAAAAAUUUUAUGAUAAAUAUUUUUAAAAUAUUUGAUGUAUUAUAUGAAUGAAAUAUUUUUUAAUUUAUAUAUUACUGUAAUAUUAUAUUUAAAAAUUUUAAUUUUAAAAAAUAGGCCAAUCCAAACGUUCAUCUUUCAGAAAGCAAUCGACCUUUCCCCAUCUUUCCCCCAACUUCUUGCUCUCGAACAUGUUUAAACUUAUGGAUGUGUACGAAUUACGAUCCCUAUACCAAUUAGACAGGGUCCUUUAUUUUUUCUGUUUCCUUUUUUUUUUCCCCACUAAGUGAAAAAUUAGUUUGUUUUCAAAGUCGUUUAAAAUAUCAAUAUGGAAGCAUGCUUUCGAUUAAUUAAACGUUUGGAAGGGCCUUUUUACUAACAAAUCCUAAGACCUACCUCUCACAAUCAACUUCUUUUCAACAAUGCUACGGAAAAUAAAUGAAAAACCUAAUGAUAAGACACCACUACCUUUUUGCAGCUGAGAUUUGAUAGGAGAAAAGAGAGAGAAAGGUCUGCUGUUUGGGGCUUUGAAAGGGAUAGAAGAGAACGCAAAUCGAAAGAUUAGGUGAGAAUCUAUUUUGCAGUUAAAAUGAAAAAAACUUUCUGCCCAGAUAUGGGUGGAAAAGAAAGGAAGGCUGAAUAAAGCUCUAUGAGAUUUUUUUAAUAUGCCACUUCUAUCUUUAGAUGUAUAUUCAAUAAAAUUUUAUUGGCGUACAUAUUUAUAAUUUUUUCAUUUCUUUACUAAACUCUCAAACAACAUCAAACUUUAUUAUCUUCUUGGCUCUUCUUUCGUAACUUUCACAUUUCCAAUCUUUGCUUUUCUAUCCUAAAAUUGAGGAUUCUCUUGGAAGGAAGUGGCAAUGCUCAACCAAACAGGUAAAGAUUGGUAAUGUGAUUUUCAAAUCAAUUGGAAAUAUUUGAACGUGCAUGUCCAUGUUUAUCUGCAUCUUUUGCUUCCUUCUUCAGGAUCCUCGUCCUUCCAUGCACUGAAGAACUGAAAAAGAAUGCACUCGAUCGGUCCAGUGUGCUGGCGAAGAUCUUUGAUACUCUUUUGAAAACCAUUUUCACAUUUUACUUGGGUCAUGGUUGAAUCAGUAUUAAUGAAUGGAGCAGAAAAGAUAUCUUUAAGCAUGUAUGAAACCAUAACCUACUGAUGACAUUAUGCAUGAACCAUUAUAUAAAGUGGAGUCGAUUCAAGUUCUUGCAUUAGGAAAGUAGAGGGAAGGUUUAGUUCAGUGAAGCAACCACGAUUUUGAGAUAAACUGCACUGGCGAUCAGGUCAUUCCAACUGAAAGAGAAGUAAGAAAUGAAUCGUCACACUUCCUUUACUUGUCUUUAAUAUUGGCCUACAGGUGGAUUUUAAUUUACCCCAGCGUUUUGACAUUACCUGUGUCGAUUCGGACCAAGAGAAGAAGCAGCCCAUCAUGAUUCAUCGUGCAGUUCUAGGAUCCUUGGAGCGGUUUUUGGGAGUUUUCAUAGAGCAUUAUGCUUGUGAAUUCCCGCUGUGGCUUUCUCCUACCCAAGCUCGGAUAUUUCCAGUCACAGAUACAUGCACAGGUAUUUGCCACUUUAUUGUGUCCCAGAUAUAUUGGGGACUAGGUGUAAGGCUAGCUAGGUGAGAAUUAAACGGUUUGUUUGCAUUAGGGACCUUGCUCUAUUCUGUACUUCUUUUCUCAUUUGUUGCCGAGAAGAAGGUUGAGUAAACUAAUUCAAAACGAAUUAGCACUUCUCUUAAUCUGCUUAAUCUUAAUUGGUUGCCUCUUCAUGUUUAGAAACUUAUUAGAAAUGGAGAGAAGCAGAAAAUCCCAUUGAUGGAGAUGCAGAAACACAAACUGUAACUGUUAGGUCUAGGCAUAGCAGGGACUAUGCCAAUUGAUGAAUUUAUCACCCGAAUCAAGCGUGCAGUUGAGAGCAGAAUAUACAAGCUCAGAUUAAUUAACAGGUAAUUUUUUGAGUAUCAACUCAAAAACUACACGUUCUCUACAAGAUUUGUAGUUCUUACUUCACCGCGUCAAGUGGCACUAUCAAGAACAUUUGCAAUUAGUUGAUACAAAGACAUAAGAGUUGAUUAGCUCUUUAACUGGACCAUCUGCUUCAACAUUCAAUAUCAUCAGUUUGAAUUUGGGUUGACAAUUUGAGUAUAAUGGCAUCUUUUUAUCUAAACAAGGGUGAGUGGAAGAGGGUAAAUCUUCUCUUAUUUGCACGUCUCACUGGAAAUCCAUCAGCAGGACACAAGAAAUAUUUUUCGGAAUUGGCCUUUGCAUUGACAGAACAAUAUGUCUGUUAAUACUAUUAUUUUGUCCACAGCUUUUCAUUACAAUCUGCAACACGAUGAAGAGAAUGCUCGCAGGGUACACACCUUUUCCCUAUUCUUUUUCUCAUUUCUAGACAGUUUCUGCAAAACAAGUGAAGCUUACCAUUUCAAGUUAUGCUAGCUUUAUCACGCCAAGAAUUAAGCUACAUGAUCACAUUAUAUUUUAGCUAUCCUAAUAAAUCAUCUCCCUGAUUUCCUCUCUUUCUCUAUAUUCCAUAUCAAUUCAUGGUGUAAAGGACGUGGACAUUGAAUAUCUUUACCCAAAACAAAAGCAGGCCUUCCCAUUAUUUCCUCUAAACACAUGCAAUAAUCCAUCACAUAUGUUCUAAUCAUUAUUCACAAAAUCAAUAUUAAAAAAAAAAAAUCAAGUCAAUAACACGAAAGACUAACAUAAACUCUUCCCAAUAUGUAUAAUACAUAUCCAAACCCUAUAACUAACUAUCAAAAUUAAGCAUGUGAAGAAAUAACAAGUCCGAGAGUCAAGUACACAUCAAUGUGAACAUCAGCUACACUCCUUGCUGUAUCCUGGCCCCAUAGCCAUUAACUCACUUACACCAUUGGAGUUACAAGGGUACUUAUUAAUUGAGCUAUCACCUUCCUUUUUCUCUUCAAGACAAUAAACCAUGUGAAAGCUGCAAGGGCAGCUGCCAUGGCUCCAAUUCCUAUAAUUAUACCAAUGUAUAAUUCUUUUCAGGCUGAGAAUAAUCACUGUGUAGCCAACAACAUAGUGGUAGAUGUUCCAAUAAAAUCUAGGAUCUGGCUUUGGCCUCAAUAGCAAGGCGAAUACCUACAAGUACAUAGCCAACAAAACUAAUUAAAGAAAGAGGAAAUUUUUAAAAAAAAAAAAAAAAGAAAACGAGAGAUAUGUAGCACCUUGCAGCGUAGUUAUCUGUAUUAAUGAAUAAUUGAUAAUGAAAUCUUUGAGUAUAUGCUGAUUUCCUACAUUUUACCUAGAGGGAAUCCUCUCUUUUUCCUACUAAUUUGUAAAGGUAGUUAUUUAAUUUUAGAAACUGGCCACGAUACUCUGUAAUGAAGCCAAAUUUCAAAGCUAUGAACAAAAAAAAAAAAAAAGUCUCCCUUUGGAUGGCAGAUUUUUAGAGUGUUGCUGGAAUAGUUUUAAUGUAACACUAUCUUAAAAUGAGUCUACGUAAGAUCGAAAGUGUUACAAGAUUUCUAAGAACACCCAUCCAAGCAUGGAAACAAAAAAAAGGUACCUGAACUGUUGCGAGGCAGACCAUAGUGAUACCAAUGCCCUUACGGGUGUCUUGUGAAACUACAGAUUCAUAGCCAAGUUUGAGACCUGCUCCCAAUCCAGAAACACCUCACAAACUAGCCAUUGAAAAUUAUGAGCUGGAAAACUUCCUGAUGGACACAAAUGGAUGCUUUCAAGAAAUGGAAUCGAGUCCUUGACUGCCAUGGCCGAGUCGGGCAACAAUAUUCAUUCAUGCUAGAUGGUCUUCGUUACACCGAUAUGGUAUAAUAAUAUAUGCAUCUUUGUUUACACCAACUUUUGAGAGCUCUACCUAAUAAUUCUACGUCCCAGGCUGUGAAAUACAAUUUAGCCUUUUUCCUAAAUGAAUGUAUACUUGGCCAGCAUUAUAAUUAUUACGAGCAUAAGAUUACUAUUAUUUGAGUUGGUACAACAGCUUGUAAAAAAAUGGGGAAAAAAAAAAAACACAUGAGCCAAAGUACUCGAAACUUAAUCAGCAAAAACUAUAAGUAAUGUAGUAGACUGAUGCAUGCACAGGAUCAUCAUAGUAACAGCUAGCUGCACUGGAGAAAAUGAAAAUACUAACAAUUAUAGCAAUGACCCGUCCAGAACCAGACGAACAGUCGAAUACUUUAUAAGAUGGGUUGAGUACGAAAUAUAUAUAUAUAUAACUAGAAGGGCUCUUUCAAUAGCAGCAUCCAAAACGCCCAUACCGGCUCAAUUCAUUAUUUUGAGAUAAAGGAUACAAAAAGUAAAACUAAGAAAAAUUGCAAUUUUUUCGUUUUAUAUAAACAAUUUUUUUUUCUUUCUUCGACUUUGCAUUGAAAGAACAUACUUCAAAAUGAUAUGAUUUAACCUCGAAUACAUUCAAAUGUAACAGAUGAAAAUGGAACUCAGAGAAUUGAUGUGUAUUCGAAUCAUCAUGGGAACUAUCAAUCGUUGGUAUGCUCACGAGGGGAGAAACCCAAUCAAGGCGAAAAUCCCACAAAAUUGUUUUGGGUUCUUCGGGCCUGUGUUGUCAAUGUCUAAAAAGGGCCUGUGUUGUCGGCCAUUCGAUUCCCAGAAUUACUAUCUCGACCCAAAUUCGAUAUUUAAGAGUCAAAAUACGGAAUAGACUAAUUAACUAAAUCUGAUUGUCACUAACUACCUAUGUUACGGCCCAGGUUUUUUAAUUUAGAAAACACGUUUUUUCGGUCUACCUACUCUUUGGAAUUGGGCUACAAUGCUUUUUUAGCUGAAGGAGCUAUUUGGGAUUUUUCAGUUGGAUCCACCAAAUGGACAGUACCUCUAAAAAGAACGAACGAUUUAGUUGACAAAUAAAUUUGCGCAUUCUUUCAUGACCCAAAAAGGGGAAAAAAAAAUAAAACAAUUAAGUCUUACAUCUUCCUGGCAAUUUUCUAUUGAAAAAUGUGUGUUUGGAAAAUGCAAUCACCUUUUUACCAUGAACACAUUUUUCAUCCUUUUUUACCUCACAUAUAUCAAAUCGCUGCAGUAAUUUUUCUAUAAACAGUUCAAAAAAAUGCAAUCCAAACAAGUUGUUGCUUUCUCUUUGUUGAAAUCUGUGGUACGUUCUAGGUAAAAUUUUCAUUACGUUGUGGAUGGUAUAAUAAAAAGAAUUAACUGCAAUAUUCAUGAAAUUCUUGAUGGUUGCCCACACUUUAACAUUAUAAAAUGAACGUUUUUAACUGCUACUGUUUUCAUGCUUAUGAAAUGCAAUCAUAUGCCUAAAUGCAACCAUCAGUUUUUUAUAGUUAUUUUUGGUCACGAUUAUAACAUACUCACACAUUUGUUGCAUUUUCCGUAUGAGAGUUUCCAGUUCUUGAAGUGGAAUGUGUAACCAGAAAAUCGUCCCUAAUUUGACACCAAUUUGAAUAACCCCAAAGAACCACUUUUGCAUAUUCUAAUAUGCAAAAGAAAUCUGAUUUGAGCAUAGGAAAAUCCAAAAACUGGAGAAUCUUCCUUUUUGUAUACAUAAUCUGUGUGCAUUGGAACAAAAUAGACAAAGUCCUACGACUUGAACAAGCCUCAAUUCCAGUGAUCAUCCAUCUCCUGACGGCUGUACUGAUGCAGUUUUGUUUUCUUCUCCUUUGAAUCACUACUGACCAGACAUUGUUGCUUCAAUGUGGGAUGCGAUGGCGGAGGUAACAGGGCGAAGGGUGCAGGCUGCAGGCUGCCGUCUUAAAAUCUGAAAUUCAUCAACUCCUUUUUUGCAUGGUAUAAAAAUGGAAUGGAUUUGUUAGAUUUUUUUUUUUUUUUGGCCUAUGCAAAAACUUAAAAAAACAUUUUACGUUACAGAAUUAAGUACAUGUAGAGUAAAGUUUGUCCCACAAGAUAAAUUUUCUAGUUCCGUCUAUGAUAAUAUGGGCGCACACCGGUGCCAAUAAACUGUCACCAAAUAAAUCAUUCAUCUUCUAAUAUUCAUCAUAAUACUUUGUAUCGAAUAAAUAUGUGCAUGGUAUGACAUAACAUUAGUACCAAUCACUUACUAAGAAUUGAUGAUGGUGAUUGCGUCAUGUACCUAAUAUUUUCCACUUGAACUAUCAUGAUUCUAUCGAUAGAUUGUUUGGAUAGUUAUUUAUUUACAAAAAUUUAUUUGAUUGCAUCAUCAACAUAUUCGGUUCGACGGACAUAAAUAAUAAGAGCCAUUAAUGCAACGUGUGGAUUUGGGAACGUCCACAUUAAACGAUGGAUCAACCAUUGUGUGCGGAAGACUUGCUUCAAAAGUUGGACAAUCAAAUUGAGAAGUUUUGCUGACCAACGCAAUAAGUUUUAAAUAAGAUCACAAGACCUACAACUGAUUUCCAUGUCAUAUAGAUUUUGAUUUGUAGCAAACGUUAGAUCUAUUUUAGUUUGACACCAUAAGCAUAAUUUCAUACCAAGAUUUUCAAACAAUCAGUUAAUCCCACCUGCUCCUAUCAAAUUAUCAAAACUUAUAUAUAGCAUGGAUUGAGUGUGGAUAACCCACAAAUUACUUUUGUACGUGUUGCAAAUUAAGGUGCAUGUAUUUUUUUUUUUUGGGGGUAAAAUCACUGUACUAUUAGAUAUUGGACCAAUAUUUGAUUAUGGCAUCUCAAUACUAACAGAAGAUGUGCCGAUAAUAGAGUAAAUUCCUCAUAUUUGAUUACGGAGAGAGCUGCAAUUUCAAGAGGACUACCAAGUAGUGUGAGAGCUCAUGAGCAUCCUUCUUCAGCUGGCAUUUCUGAGCAAUGACAAGAAUUAAGCUUCUGCUACCAAAUGUAAUUAAUCAUUGCUGAAUUUCUGAAGUAUAUUCUUGUAGUCAGGCAAUCAAGGAGUAAACAAUUCAUGUGUGAAAUCAAGGGAAAGAAUUGUUGGAAAGUAUGAACAACUUCUUCUCUGGGUAGCAUAAAAGAAUCAAAAAGUUGAUAACUUAGUCUACACUCAACCGUUUUUUGAUUAAGAGCCAUGUAUCUCCACCUUUCUUUUUCCACAAAAUCUGCAUCAAGAAACCUGGAAACAAAAGCCCAGAGCCGAUACAAGUCCUCAAAGUUGGUCAAAAACCUGACAGAAGCUGAGACACAGAAAUUUCCGAAUCAAAUUGACCUCCCUUUUUUUGUGCUCCACUUCUCUUCUUUCAGUGUUUUCCUUCUCUAAUAUUUUCUGCUUCUCUUCCUUAUAAUUGUUUUCAAACCACACAUGCUGCAAGAAUCCGCAUGCAAGAGAAACAUUGUUUCGGUCAGCUAACUUCUGUACAAGAAUUGGAUCGAUUUUGUCUCCUUUCCAGUCAAAUACAUUGAAAGCCACAGCCGGUGCUCGGUUAAUGCUUAUUUUUGGUCCGUAGAUUUUAACUAAGGCAGCCCCAUUUUCUGAAUGUGGAUGUCGAAGGCACAGCAAUGCAUUUACUAGCCAGUUUAUGUGGUACCGAUUUCUGCUACUGAUCACAAUUAGGCCUACUUCAUCUGCAUGAUCUAAUCCCCUGCAUUCAAUCGUUUCUGAGCUUCUUAUACCACUGGGACUUGCAUCAUUUGAGACAACCCUUUUAUCUGAUUUUAAUAACUCGGAAAAUGAUGGUUCCUCCUGAGUUUUGCUGCCAUCUUCUUUAACUUCCUGCAAUUCAAAGGCUUCUUCACUUGAGCUAAAGGAUGAGCUAAGCAAUCCUGCUUCCUCUCUCCUGAACAACAUUCCUAAGGUCACAAUUUGAUCUUUACUUUCUGUUUCAGAGAUAGUGGAUUGUCUAAAAAGGUUUCCUGUUGGGAUAAGACUGACAACACCAAUGCUUGUGGAGGAUUUGUUUAGCACUGAGAUACUAGACUUCUUCACGAAUAAACAGCUAAAACCAGAAGGGUUUUCCCCAAACACCUUGAAGAAUGAACAGACGAUAAAGUCAGGAAGAAACAGAGUUAGCCCAACGUCUCCAUCUCCUUGGCUGCUAACGCGUCUGCAUCAAGCAAGACAUGCCAACCAUUUUCUUGCGCUUUAUACAUCCAUUGAUAAGAAUAUGUUGCUCCAGUCAUUCUUGACUGCAGGGGAAGACAAAUAAUCCCCUCUUCUUCUUCUUCUUCUUCUUAUUCUUACGGAUCAUCUUCCUAAGCUUUUUUGCAUUUAUCCUCAAACUAGGCCAUGAGAACUUAGCUGACAAUAUUCGGCUCCAUCUUCUUGGAGCUUUCAAUCAUUGCUUCUGUUGCUUCAUUCUUGUAGUCAUAGACUGUAAGAAGUUUGUGAUUAGUCGGAAGGGAUAUGAAUCUGCCAAAAGCUUGAAAGCGGAGGCCUGGUUAGCAGUGAAAACCAUGGAAUAAUCAUCUUCAGAGAUAUUCAUGUAUUUCAUGAUCCUUUUUCUCAUUGCCAAUUCAAACUCUGAUUUUUCGCCACCGUAACGUAGCAGAGAGAUCAAAUUGACGGACUUGUAUGAAAUAUCAAAAAAAGGUACUUCUGAAGCGGUAGAAUCUUGUGUGGUGGAGGAGAUGAAGAAGUAGAGGCAAUUGCAGCUCCAGAAUACAAAUUCUGUUGCUGGGAAUGUGAGAAAAGGCCAUUGCCAGUGUAGUCCAGGCAGACAUGAUUUGAGAGAGAGAUGAUAGUACUCUUGUGAUCUAAUUUGGUCAACCGAAUCUGUAUUUGAGUAUUGCCGGAAGGAAUUUUUAAGGUGGAAUACAAUUCUCUCCAUGGAGGGAGAGAUUCGUGAUUAGUAAACGAGGUGUCUGGUCGGAUUGAGGAACAAAUUGCAGAAAAGAAAUCUUGCUUGGGAGUGGUGGCAGUUUAGUAAACUCGGAAGUGGGAGUAGGGGCCUCGGCAGGCGAAGACAAGGAUUUGAGCACCAACUUGAACAGGCUUUUGAGGCCUCUCUGACGCAAGGUACUUCCAUAUCGCUCUUUAAGUUCUACAUUUCUUCAGACUUCAAAUCCUGCACUCCCUUUUCCUUGUUUUCCCUUAUUUUCCAUCUAACUUUGUGAUAAAUAACUCACCUAAUGCAGCAGAAAAAAGUUUCAUAUGUGCAAGUUUCUGGAAUGGUUAUUGAAUGCGUUACCGCAGGGGGAAUUUUCCAGCAUAUGCUGAUUGACCAUGUCUACCAUGGAUUGCAGUGCCUUCCCUCUCACAUCUCAAUGUCGUAUACGGGGCGUUUAGUGCUUUCUUUCCUUUACUCUUUGUACUCUGAGAUAAAUCGGUCAAUAUCACCUUUCUUUGUUAUUGUCAACCAUCAUGUGAGGGGUAAUGUACAUUUUCUUUCAUUUCCAUUAAAGGCGGAUUAGAAAGUUCUCCGGCUAACAGGCACCUCCCCGGAGGAAAAUCUUAUGAAGCCGAAUAUUUGUCAGGAUAUAAGUUUCUUGUGCAAGUACUACUUAGACAUGUAUACAGUUAUGCAAAAAUUGUAUCAUGGGACUUGAAAUCUCCACCUGAUUGAUGCUUAAAACUUCCUAAGCCACCCAUGUUUCUUUGGGAUUUGAGACAGGUACCGUUGAGAUUUUUGUGCGAUUAUUGUAUUUUUUUUACAUGAUUUGAUAGUAAAUUUUAGGGAAAAUACACAAACUCAACAUAUCAGCACAGCCACAUCUCUAAGCAAAUAUUGAAAAGAAAACAACGAACGCGUCAAUUGCAUCAAGAGCCAUCUGUGUAGGUAACAAUUAACAUGGCCAUAGAGUGAUGCAGAGAGCUGAAAGUCUUCGUCAACAUGCACUGAGAUGUUUUACACCUCCAGGCAUUGGUUCAUAUAAUUUCGAUCAGACAGAGAAAGUUAAGUUAGGACCAUCACAUUGUAUAGCCCAGCACAUGCUCUUAUCAGAUUAGUCUCUGAUUUUGUUUCAUUUGGAGUAAACCAAAGACUAGUUCUUAGCCACUUACGCAUGGAAUGGUUGCAAGUGUUUCACGUAAGAUAAGGAAAGCAACUUGAUAUAGAGCAUCUUUGUUGAGCUGCUGGAGCGGAGCAAAGGACAAGUGGAAAGCCUACAAACAUUUUUUGUAGUGGCCGGCACUAUACAGCCAUGCAGAUCAGCUUGAAGCUUUCACAAGAAUGGUUCAUUAUUGUACUCAUCGUUUAUCACAGCCACAUAACACCAAUAAUUAACCCCUCUCCCUGAAUUUGUUUUGUAGCUUACACUACAAAUAUUUAUCUAAGAAAGAAUCAGUUCACUGUGUCAAUUUUCAGAAGAAAACAGUAGGAAAAGAAUUCAUCCAGCUACGAAUGCACUAAAAAGCUGUAGAAGAAUACAUGUAUGGCUAUUGAUUUGAAAAAUUCCACACACACACACACACAUCAUUCUCAAUUUGCAUAUUUUGCACGUCUUUUUGGCAAAGGAAAAAAAAAUAUUAUAUCUGAACUGUAACAUCAGUACAUCACCAGGCUGGCAUUAAUUUUGACAAAUUUUCACGUUAUGGGUCUCUAUCAUUAAUAAAUGCUUCAACCCAGCCCAUCCUGCCCACCUGAAUCAAACUCAAAGCCCUAAACAUGAGGGAUUCACGUGAGCCCAAAAGAUGAGGAAUUCAGUCAAGUCAAGAGUGGAACACCUUAAUGAUGAUGAUGAUGAUGACGAUCAUUUUGGAUCCUACGGUUUGCUGUUAAUUAUGGUUAAAUAGAAUCGAAACAUCCCUUCUUAUAAGCCCUAUAUAAUAAACUCUUAUGUUGUAUAGAAGAUUUUUUUUUUUUUUUUUUUUAUAACGAGUCAGACAUAUAUCUCCCUGUCAGCCGUGUCAGAGGGAGGAUAUCUACUUAUCUGCAUUAAUCCAAUUGUUUCAUAAUUUAGCUUAAAUUCAAUUUCACCAAUUUGGGCUUGUCCAAGCACUAAUUUCAGUUCCAAUUGAAAAAAAAAAAACAGUAUUGGUAACCUUAUGCCUUCAUGCAGAGAGAACGUACAUUGCGAUGUAAUCUCUGGGUCAAAUGCUAAAUUCCUUCCUUACGGCCAGUACCUUUCCAUGCCUUUCUUGGGUUGCGAGAGCAAACCGGAAAUGUAGACUUUCAGGACAUGUUUGGACAACGGGACAUGUUAUUCCACCAUUUGACAUUAGAAGUUUAUAUUUGACAUUGGCGAUAAAUCAAAACCAAAAUGAACAAUGAUUAGUUACCAAAAUACUCCAGAUGUUAUGAAUAUAUUGACUUUGGUGCCUGUGGAGCAGGCAAAUAGCAAUAUAUAAGGGCGAGUGCAGCGUGAUUGAUUGUAGAACAAGUCUUUAAGGUGAAAAUGCUGUGAAGAUUCUUUGGAUGAUGGAUUGAACUCAGGUCAUGAUGUUGCUUUAGAGAUUGGUGGAGCUGGUAGUGGACAAAAUGUUACUGAUCAAAGAAUAUCACCUAUGGACCAUGAUGUCCAACUGAGACAUGACGCAAAAUAAGCAGCCAAAAAAAAAUUAUCACUGUUGAGAGUGGGAUUUGAACCCACGCCCUUUCGGACCAGAACCUUAAUCUGGCGCCUUAGACCAACUCGGCCAUCUCAACUUGUUGAUGGCAGCUACCAACAAUGACAUCAGAUGGUUGCUUUCGGUCGAAAUCUUUAUUACUCAAUAACUUGGAUAGCCUAAAAGGUUUUUUUUUUUGUUUUUGUUUUGGGAUAGAAAGAAUGAUUUCAUUCAAUAAAUUUACACUAAUGACUGAAAAUGCAUCAAAUCAAACAUUUGAAACGUUAAAAUGUCAUGGGAAAACUUUCUUGAUUGACCAAGUUGAGAAGAAAUAAUACUUGUAUGCGGUGACCCAAUAUACGAUACCGUUUCAUCUCAUAACAUUCUAACGAACUUUCAUAUCUAGCAUCAAUUUUGUCUGGUAUGAAAACUUGAAGCAGGAAAUAUGAACAUGCAAGAGGGAUUAGAAUAGCAAAUUUAGAUGGUAUGAGACCAAAAUGAUAAGCUUAGAACAUUUUGUCAUACUCUAGGCAACAUCAAGAACAUGUAAUUUGUGUAUUUUCAUAUGUAAAUGCUUGAGAAAUGAAAAUCGAAUUCGUAAAUAUGUUCUCAAUUUCAUAUAUAGUUACAUUUCAUUGUUAAAGAUAUUUCACUUGCCCUAUAAAUACUCCUAACUUCUCAUUUCCUUUCAUCCAAUUAUUAUAUCCUAGCUUAAAUAAUUAUAUCUCCUUUUUUUUUUUCUUAUCUCCUCCUUUUGUUAUCCUCCAUAUACACAUUUCUACUGAAUGGAGUUGGCAAUUGUUGAAAAUUUUGAUCUAUAAAUCCACACAAGUUGGCUACCUAAGAUGGAGGAGACUGGACUAGAUUAUGAGCAUGAAAUGGGAAAAGGGAAAUUAAAUUGUUAUGAAAAAUAUUCAUGACAAAUUAAAGCCUUACGCGAAAAUGUUUAUAUUAUCGUAAUUGAAUCUUCGAAGAACUAAUCGAUUAUUUUUGUGCUUAACUAUAGCGUAUUUGCUUCUUUGUAUUCUAUAAUUCAUGUUUUCUCUUCUUAUAUCUCAAAAACGAAGUCUCCUCAAAUCAGGAGUCUGAUUUUACUCUAAUUCUUUUUCCUUUCCAUGUAUUUAAAGAUCCACAAAAAUAAAAAAGUUGCAAAAGAAGCAUUACACAAGAAAACCAUAUGUAUGGUAAGUUGGUAGUCCAGAAGUACAUUGAAACGGUACAUUUGGAAGUCUAGGACAUGUUUAGGUUACUAACAUGCAGGGAAUACAGCACGUAGAGUUAGUUUUAGGUAAUUAGUGCGAUUAUUAUACUUUUUUUAUGAUUUGGUGUAUAUUCACGUGAAUUUAUUGUAUUUCAUAAUUUGAUGUAUAUUUACAAAACUUUUAUCGUACGUUAAAAAUACAUUAAAAUUAUGUGAAUGUACACUAAAUUAUGAAAAAAAAUAUAACAAUCAUAUGAAGCGCAUUUAAUGCUAACCGUACCUGCACCAAACUCCUAGCGUACCACCCACAACAAUCUUUGCCUGCCCUGCAACACAAGUUGGGACGCUACGUACCUGGAACUGUCAUCCAAAUGGUUUCUUGAAAAUUAACAAACUUUUACCAUGAAACGAUAAUCCGUGCAAUCUUCGAGCUCCAUAAUUCAUUCUCAAUGAACUGCAUGUAAGACUUUCAGAGCUUCAGAGACACACAUGAAUUAAGGAAACAACUAGAUUUCUUAAUUAGACUAGCUAGGCAGAGUUAAAGAUAAUGCCUAGUCUUCCCGUUUGAUCGUGGUCUUGUCUUUGCAUGAAGAGCAGCAAGAAAGGGGUUAUGUUAAGCUGAGGAGUUAUAGGGCAACUCUCCUUUGGCAGGUUACGAAGAAGUUGGCACGAAGAUUUACAUGGCACCAGUACUCCAUCAACUGCCAAGAGGAGAUCUGCCCUAAAACUGGCUCGCUUAUAUAUUUUCUUCAGUCAAGGGAUGGACUCACUCUUUCUUACAUGCCUUGAAGGACCAAAACUGAAGUCUAGAUUUAUAUAUAGCCACUCUUUGGGUUUCCCUGUCUUCUGGAAAUCGAAUAAGGGGGGUUGAAGAAAGAUAGCAUAUGGCAUAGGGUUUUAUGCCUUCGGAUAUACCGUUGAUUAUGCCUGCUUUUUACGCAUUCCAUGGCUCCAUGUAGGGCUGCUUUUAUCAGAAAAGGCCCCUUAAAUGGCUUGGGAAAAUGCGGGAGAUUCGAGGCUGCAUGAUCCUGACUUAUGGUAAUGUUUUGCCUUUGUAGCUUUAAGCCUUUCUUUCUGUGUACGUACGUGGAGAAAGAUGUACAGAUAUAAAGCAAUCCAGAAGUGAUGCCACUUUUUGCUUAAGACCCUCGAGACCCUUAAGGUAUAUCCUUUGUCAUAUUCUUCUUCUGGCCUUUUGAGUCGGUUCAGAAUUUGGGUUAAUUUGGGUUGCGAUUAUAUAUCAUUGAGCUUUGUCUAUAAUUCCAGAUCACCUUGUGCAAUUACGCUCUUUAUCUCAAGGCUUGUUUGUGACAUAGUAGCAAAAGAAUAAUGACAACAGUUGGAAAUCCGAUUUUGGAUAUCAACAUAAAUUUUAAAAAAUUAACAAUAAAUAUAUAGAGUUCAAAUAUAUCUAUCAACCACCUAUAUACAAUAAUAAAUAUGUUACUUACAGGCUAACAACCAAACAUAAACAUAAAUCCUAUAUAUACAAUGUUACAGGAAUGGAACACAUUUGCUUAGUUCUACCAUAUUAAUGGGUCCGUUUGGAUCAAAGAUUAUUUGGAAUAAUAUUGUAACACUUUUUGUAAUGUGAUACAUAUGAAAUGAAAAAAAAAAGUAAUUAAAAAAUUACGUUUAUGAUGCAAGCAGAACAAAAUUUAGAAAUUAUUUUUUUAGCAAAUCUUGAUAACCAAACAAAUCCAUUUUAUGUUCACCUGGCAUUAGUGAUAAGUUGCUUUUGGGAUAAGUUUCGGAGCUUUGAUUGUAUAUCAAUAUUCAUAGCAGAGACAUGCACUAAAGUAUAGAAUAAGAGGCAGGAUAAGGCAAGAAAUAGUAGUAUUAUAGUCAUUCCCACUAGUUCCUAUGAUGCCAAGCAAUAUAGAUUUAUUUACUAUAUGUUCACAAAAAUUUAAGAGUUCCAAAUAAGUAAGUAAAAACUAGGAGAUGUAAGCUAAACUGUGUGAUUUAUAGAAUAGAACGGUAGAAAAGACAGGAACACGGCAUACAGACACUUCCCAAAGGUCAUUUUACAUAGAUUUUUAUGUAAAGAAAUGCAGCAUUGUUGUUUUUUCAGAGCAACUUUCACUUCCACAUACAUGUAAAGAAAACCAAAAAAAAAAAAAAUUUGAUAGCUAAGGAAAAAAAAAAA